GGAGAAUCUGUGGCAUCUAAGUGAUCAGGACUCAGCACAGAGGGCUCGCCAUGGAGCUGGUGCUGAGCUGGGUUUUCCUUCUGGCUUUUUUCAAAGGUGUCCAAGCUGAGGAGAGGUUGGUGGAGUCCGGGGGAGGCUUAGUGCAGCCCGGAGGGUCCCUGAGACUCUCCUGCGUGGGCUCCGGGUUCACCUUCAGUAGCUAUGUCAUGUACUGGAUCCGUCAGGCCCCAGGAAAAGGGCUGGAGUGGAUCUCAUAUAUCAGUGAGCGUAGUAUUAACAUAAACUAUGCAGACUCCGUGAAGGGCCGCUUCACCAUCUCCAGAGACAACGACAAAAACACGGUGUAUCUGCAAAUGAACAACCUGAAAACCGAGGACACGGCCGUGUAUUACUGUACCAGAGACACAGUGAGGGAAACCUCUGUACAAGCCAGGCAAAAACCUCCCUUCAGGAAUGCUUAA